rnacentral:rRNA from 1 species
AGAGUUUGAUCCUGGCUCAGAUUGAACGCUGGCGGCGUGCCUAACACAUGCAAGUCGAGCGGUAACAGGUGUAGCAAUACAUGCUGACGAGCGGCGAACGGGUGAGUAAUGCUUCGGAAUCUACCCUAUGGUGGGGAAUAACCAGCCGAAAGGUUGGCUAAUACCGCAUACGUCCUACGGGAGAAAGCAGGGGAUCGUAAGACCUUGCGCCGAUGGAUGAGCCGAAGUCGGAUUAGCUAGUUGGUGAGGUAACGGCUCACCAAGGCGACGAUCCGUAGCUGGUCUGAGAGGACGACCAGCCACACUGGGACUGAGACACGGCCCAGACUCCUACGGGAGGCAGCAGUGGGGAAUAUUGGACAAUGGGGGCAACCCUGAUCCAACGACGCCGCGUGUGUGAAGAAGGCCUGCGGGUUGUAAA